rnacentral:rRNA from 1 species
CAGUCGCCACGGGAACACGUAGGUGGCAAGCGCUGUCCGGAAUUAUUGGGCGUAAAGGGCGUGUAGGCGGCCUGGGGCGUCCCAUGUGAAAGGCCACGGCUCAACCGUGGAGGAGCGUGGGAUACGCUCAGGCUAGAGGGUGGGAGAGGGUGGUGGAAUUCCCGGAGUAGAGGUGAAAUUCGUAGAUAUUCGGAAGAACACCAGUGGCGAAGGCGGCUUACUGGCUCAUUCUAGACGCUGAGGUGCGAAAGCGUGGGGAGCAAACAGGAUUAGAUACCCCUGUAGUCCCUGUCUCUUAUCC